rnacentral:misc_RNA from 1 species
UGAACUUUAUGCAGCAUUUGAUCCCCUGGCAGACAAGGCUCUAGCUAUUAAGACUUGCAAUCGAGUAUGUCAAUGGAUCAAGAAUAUAGAGAAUGAGAUUUUCUUGUUAGGAGCCAGUCCUUUUUCAUGGUGAUUCUCUCCAUGUUUCGAAUUCCUUACAAUAAGCUUUUGUUGCCUCAUUUCUGCAGGCUUCCAAUUUUUGUGGUUAUUUAGGAAAUGCCAAUUGUAGUUUAAAGUUUGGCAGUCAAGAUAUGAGUUGGUCUCACUCUAGCCGUCGUUUUAUUUUCGUUUGUACAAUUUAUGAAAUUUUGUACCUUUAUGCUG